ACCUAUAGUUAAGUUGUGUUUAAAAUCGUCAAUGUAAUGCACGUUAGAGGUUUUUAGUUGGACAUGAAGUUAGCUAACGUUAGCUAACUCUACCAGGUUAGCAUGUUAAGCUGUACUUUCUGUGGCAGCUAGCUUAAUACAAAGAGGGGUUUUGUGCUUCAUUGCAAACUUUUCUUUGUUAAUCUACCUGAAACUAGGGACAGUUUGUUUCUACUCAACUAUACAGACCAUUGUUGAGGAGAUGCAAAACAUACUGUACAUGAGUUGGGUCCAACAUAUACCUUGAGUAAUGUUACUUUGCUGCUAAAAAUGAAACAUCAUUAUCAGAUGAGGACAUCACCAAAGUGUGUGAGCCUGUCAGGGGAUUUGAUCUGUUCUCUGCAUGUCCUAAACACUGCUCUGGUAUUACUUAUCUUGUAACAUGUAAGUCUCUCGCUCUUGUCAUCGUUCAGGCUUUGCAUUUGAACUCCUAUGACUGGUUGCGGACUUGAAGGGAACGUCUUCCUGACAUCCAGGAAAAAGUUUUAUUGGACAGAGGCAGUAGAGAUCUACUGGAAACAGUGGAGAGGGAGGAGAUGAUAUGCAGCAUACGGCCCUGCCGGAUGGUUGCUGCUCCGUGUGGAACGUGUUCUAUCAGGUGUAACAUCUACCAAUGGUUGUACAUGACAGAGACCUCCUCCACCUCUUUGCUGUCUUACUAGUCAAUCCUUCUGAUCAGGUCCUUUCCUAAAUAGUGAAAGGAUCACGCCAGCCCACAUCAAACACCUGAUCACACCUGUGUGAUAUUCCACUCUGACUGGAACCCUGAAAAUGACCUGCAGGCUCAAGCUCGGUGUCAUCGUUUUGGCCAGUCUAAGGCGGUGAAGGUGUACCGUCUGAUCACUAGAAACUAUGAGAGGGAAAUGCUGGAUAAAGCUAGUCUGAAGCUCGGGCUGGACCGUGCCGUCCUGCAGAGCACGAGUGGCAACAACAACGGGGGGAGAAAAAGAAAAUCUGUCAUUUUUGGCCGGUCCAGCAGUUCUCCAAGAAGGAGAUCGAGGACCUGCUGAGGAAAGGAGCCUACGCCGCCAUCAUGGACGAGAACGUCAAGGCAAUCGCUUCUGCUAGGAGGACAUCGACCAGAUCCUGCAGCGAAGAGCCACCAUCAUCACCAUCACCAGUUUGCUUCAAGCAGUGGCUGUACGAGAACGACGUGGAGGACCAAGAAAUGCUGGCCAGAUUGGCAAAGACCGGAAGAUACAUAACAGAGAAUAUAAUGGAUAUUAACAAGAAAAAGAAAAAAAA